rnacentral:rRNA from 1 species
CCAGACUCCUACGGGAGGCAGCAGUGGGGAAUAUUGCACAAUGGGCGCAAGCCUGAUGCAGCGACGCCGCGUGAGCGAAGAAGUAUUUCGGUAUGUAAAGCUCUAUCAGCAGGGAAGAAAAUGACGGUACCUGACUAAGAAGCUCCGGCUAAAUACGUGCCAGCAGCCGCGGUAAUACGUAUGGAGCAAGCGUUAUCCGGAAUUACUGGGUGUAAAGGGAGCGUAGACGGCGACGCAAGUCUGAAGUGAAAUGCCAGUGCUCAACACUGGAACUGCUUUGGAAACUGUGUAGCUAGAGUGCAGGAGAGGUAAGUGGAAUUCCUAGUGUAGCGGUGAAAUGCGUAGAUAUUAGGAGGAACACCAGUGGCGAAGGCGGCUUACUGGACUGUAACUGACGUUGAGGCUCGAAGGCGUGGGGAGCAAACAGGAUUAGAUACCCUGGUAGGC